rnacentral:rRNA from 1 species
GAUGAACGCUGGCGGCGUGCCUAAUACAUGCAAGUCGAGCGGACGGACGAGACGCUUGCUUCUCUGAUGUUUGCGGCGGACGGGUGAGUCACACGUGGAUCCUCUACCUAUAUUUCUGGGAUAACUUCGGGAAACCGGAGCUAACACCGGAUGAUAUUCUGAACCGUGUGGGUCAAAGGAGAAAUACGGUGUUUCUGUCUCGUAUAGAUGCUUCUCCGCUGCAUUAGCUGGUUGGUAAGGUCACGGCCUUCCACGGCAACGAUGCAUAGCCGACCUCAGAGAGGGGUCGGCCACCCUGGAACUGGGACGCGGUCCAGACUCCUACGAGAGGCAGCAGUAGGGAAUCUUCCGCAAUAGGCGAGAGCCUGGCGGAGCAACGGGGAGUGAGUGAUGAAGGUCUUCGGAUCGGAAUGCUCUGUUAUUAGGGAAGAACAUAUGUGUACGGAGCUGUACACAUCGUGACGGUACCUAGUCAGGAAGCCACGGCUAACUACGUG